CCUACGGGUGGCAGCAGUGGGGAAUAUUGGGCAAUGGGCGCAACCCUGACCCAGCAACGCCGCGUGAAGGAUGAAGGCUUUCGGGUUGUAAACCUCUUUUCUCAGGGACGAAGCAAGUGACUGUACCCGAUGAAUAAGCCACGGCUAAUAAGGGCCAGCAGCCGGCGUAAUACGAAGGGGGGAAACGUUUACCGGGUGUACCGGGUGGAAAGGGAGUGGAGGCGGGAUUGCAAGUCAGAUGUGAAAACCACGGGCUUAACCAUUGGUCUGCAUUUGAAACUGUUGUGCUUGAGUACAGGAGAGGCAGACGGAAUUCCUAGUGUAGCGGUGAAAUGCGUAGAUAUUAGGAGGAACACCAGUGGCGAAGGCGGUCUACUGGACAGCAACUGACGCUGAGGCGCGAAAGCGUGGGGAGCAAACAGGAUUAGAUACCCCAGUAGUC
rnacentral:rRNA from 1 species